GCGCGGGUGGCGAAAUUGGUAGACGCACUACCUUGAGGUGGUAGCGCCCGCAAGGGCUUGGAAGUUCAAAUCUUCUCCCGCGCA
rnacentral:tRNA from 2 species